CAAGUAGAAAAUGGACAAGGUUGAUGUAACUGACCUUCAGCGUUGAAGCCUGAUCGUUCCUGUCGUUUGAGAUGACUGUGCAGGAAGGAAAGGCAAUGAGGAGAUAAAGGAGCCUUAAACCUGCAUUGUCUGUCUUACCCAUGUUUUUCACGGCCUCCAAUGGGAGUUUUGCUCAGGAAGUGUGAAACAGAGCUGAAGAGAGUGGAAGUGGCCCUGUUGGACUAGGAGGAGACUUCAGUGUCUGAUCUGUGGGAGCUGCCAUCAGCUGGUGUCCUGCAGGUCUCAUCAUGCGUCAAGAAUGUGACAGUGUUCAAGG